rnacentral:rRNA from 1 species
UACGAGGGGGGCAAGCGUUGUUCGGAAUUAUUGGGCGUAAAGGGUGCGUAGGUGGUUUGGCAAGUCUUGUGUGAAAUCUUUGGGCUCAACCCAAAGCCUGCACGAGAAACUGCCGGGCUUGAGUAUGGGAGAGGUGAGUGGAAUUUCCGGUGUAGCGGUGAAAUGCGUAGAUAUCGGAAGGAACACCUGUGGCGAAAGCGGCUCACUGGACCAUAACUGACGCUGAGGCACGAAAGCUAGGGGAGCAAACAGG